rnacentral:rRNA from 1 species
CAGCAGCCGCGGGAAUACGUAGGGUGCGAGCGUUAAUCGGAAUUACUGGGCGUAAAGCGUGCGCAGGCGGUUAUAUAAGACAGAUGUGAAAUCCCCGGGCUCAACCUGGGACCUGCAUUUGUGACUGUAUAGCUAGAGUACGGUAGAGGGGGAUGGAAUUCCGCGUGUAGCAGUGAAAUGCGUAGAUAUGCGGGGGAACACCGAUGGCGAAGGCAAUCCCCUGGACCUGUACUGACGCUCAUGCACGAAAGCGUGGGGAGCAAACAGGAUUAGAUACCCCCGUAGUCCCUGUCUCUUAUAC